rnacentral:rRNA from 1 species
GAUGAACGCUGGCGGCGUGCCUAAUACAUGCAAGUCGAGCGAACGGACGAGAAGCUUGCUUCUCUGAUGUUAGCGGCGGACGGGUGAGUAACACGUGGAUAACCUACCUAUAAGACUGGGAUAACUUCGGGAAACCGGAGCUAAUACCGGAUAAUAUUUUGAACCGCAUGGUUCAAAAGUGAAAGACGGUCUUGCUGUCACUUAUAGAUGGAUCCGCGCUGCAUUAGCUAGUUGGUAAGGUAACGGCUUACUAAGGCAACGAUGCGUAGCCGACCUGAGAGGGUGAUCGGCCACACUGGAACUGAGACACGGUCCAGACUCCUACGGGAGGCAGCAGUAGGGAAUCUUCCGCAAUGGGCGAAAGCCUGACGGAGCAACGCCGCGUGAGUGAUGAAGGUCUUCGGAUCGUAAAACUCUGUUAUUAGGGAAGAACAUAUGUGUAAGUAACUGUGCACAUCUUGACGGUACCUAAUCAGAAAGCCACGGCUAACUACGUG